CAAUGAAGCGCACACGGUGGAUGCCUAGGCAGCCAGAGGCGAUGAAAGACGUGGUAGCCUGCGAUAAGGUUCGGUGAGGUGGCAACAACCUGUGACCCGGACAUCUCUGAAUGGGGAAACCCACUCAUCAUAAGAUGAGUAUCGUGCAUUGAAUACAUAGAUGUACGAGGCGAACCAGGGGAACUGAAACAUCUAAGUACCCUGAGGAAAAGAAAUCAACCGAGAUUCCCCUAGUAGCGGCGAGCGAACGGGGACCAGCCCUUAAGCAUGAGACUGAUUAGGCGAACACGCUGGGAAGCGUGGCCGUAGCGGGUGAUAGCCCCGUAGUCGAAAAUCUGAUCAUGUGAAAUCGAGUAGGUCGGGGCACGAGAAACCUUGACUGAAGACGGGGGGACCAUCCUCCAAGGCUAAAUACUCCUGGCUGACCGAUAGUGAACCAGUACCGUGAGGGAAAGGCGAAAAGAACCCCGGAGAGGGGAGUGAAAUAGAUCCUGAAACCGUGUGCGUACAAGCAGUAGGAGCAGACUUGUUCUGUGACUGCGUACCUUUUGUAUAAUGGGUCAGCGACUUAUAUUCAGUGGCGAGGUUAACCGUAUAGGGGAGCCGUAGGGAAACCGAGUCUUAACUGGGCGACACAGUCGCUGGAUAUAGACCCGAAACCGAGCGAUCUAUCCAUGAGCAGGGUGAAGGUUGAGUAACAUCAACUGGAGGCCCGAACCAGGAUCUGUUGAAAAAGAUUUGGAUGACUUGUGGAUCGGAGUGAAAGGCUAAUCAAGCUCGGAGAUAGCUGGUUCUCCUCGAAAGCUAUUUAGGUAGCGCCUCACGUAGUACCGCCGGGGGUAGAGCACUGUUUCGGCUAGGGGGUCAUCCCGACUUACCAACCCGAGGCAAACUCCGAAUACCGGUGAGUAACGCGUGGGAGACACACGGCGGGUGCUAACGUCCGUCGUGAAAAGGGAAACAACCCAGACCGUCAGCUAAGGUCCCGAAAUCCUGGUUAAGUGGGAAACGAUGUGGGAAGGCUCAGACAGCUAGGAGGUUGGCUUAGAAGCAGCCAUCCUUUAAAGAAAGCGUAAUAGCUCACUAGUCGAGUCGGCCUGCGCGGAAGAUGUAACGGGGCUAAACCAGGUACCGAAGCUACGGGUUCAUAGCGGUAGAGGAGCGUCGUGUAAGCCGAUGAAGGUGGAUUGAGAAGUCUGCUGGAGGUAUCACGAGUGCGAAUGCUGACAUGAGUAACGAUAAAGGGAGUGAAAAACUCCCUCGCCGGAAGACCAAGGGUUUCUGUUCGACGCUAAUCGGAGCAGAGUGAGUCGGCCCCUAAGGCGAGGCCGAAAGGCGUAGUCGAUGGGAAACGGGUCAAUAUUCCCGUACCGGACAUGGUUGCGAUGGGGGGACGAAGAAGGCUAGGUGAGCCAGGCGUUGGUUGUCCUGGUGAAAGUGAGUAGGCUUGGAUCUUAGGUAGAUCCGGGAUCCUUUAAGGCCGAGACACGAGAUGAACUGACCACGGUCAGGAAGUCACUGAUGCCACGCUUCCAGGAAAAGCCUCUAAGCUUCAGAUCAUGUGCGACCGUACCCCAAACCGACACAGGUGGUCAGGGUGAGAAUCCCAAGGCGCUUGAGAGAACUCGGGUGAAGGAACUAGGCAAAAUGGUGCCGUAACUUCGGGAGAAGGCACGCCGGCGUAGGGUGAAGAGACUUGCUCUCCUAGCCCGAACCGGUCGAAGAUACCAGGUGGCUGCAACUGUUUAUUAAAAACACAGCACUCUGCUAACGCGCAAGCGGACGUAUAGGGUGUGACGCCUGCCCGGUGCCGGAAGGUUAAAUGAUGGUGUUAGCCGCAAGGCGAAGCUCUUGAUUGAAGCCCCGGUAAACGGCGGCCGUAACUAUAACGGUCCUAAGGUAGCGAAAUUCCUUGUCGGGUAAGUUCCGACCUGCACGAAUGGCGUAAUGAUGGCCACGCUGUCUCCACCCGAGACUCAGUGAAAUUGAAAUCGCCGUGAAGAUGCGGUGUACCCGCGGCUAGACGGAAAGACCCCGUGAACCUUUACUAUAGCUUCACACUGGACGCUGAUGUUGCCUGUGUAGGAUAGCUGGGAGGCUUAGAAACUCGGACGCCAGUUCGGGCGGAGCCAACCUUGAAAUACCAGCCUGGCAUCAUUGGCGUUCUCACUCAGGUCCGUUAUCCGGAUCGAGGACAGUGUGUGGUGGGUAGUUUGACUGGGGCGGUCUCCUCCUAAAGAGUAACGGAGGAGCACGAAGGUACCCUCAGCACGGUCGGACAUCGUGCAUUGAGUGCAAGAGCAUAAGGGUGCUUGACUGCGAGACAGACACGUCGAGCAGGUGCGAAAGCAGGUUCUAGUGAUCCGGUGGUUCUGUAUGGAAGGGCCAUCGCUCAACGGAUAAAAGGUACUCCGGGGAUAACAGGCUGAUACCGCCCAAGAGUUCACAUCGACGGCGGUGUUUGGCACCUCGAUGUCGGCUCAUCACAUCCUGGGGCUGAAGUCGGUCCCAAGGGUAUGGCUGUUCGCCAUUUAAAGUGGUACGCGAGCUGGGUUUAGAACGUCGUGAGACAGUUCGGUCCCUAUCUGCCGUGGGCGUUGGAUGUUUGAGAAGGGCUGCUCCU
rnacentral:rRNA from 1 species